rnacentral:tRNA from 1 species
GGCCUUGUGGUUUAGAGGUAUAAUUCUCGCUUGUAAGCAUAAACCAUCGCACACCGAGGUUCUGAGUUCGAUUCACUAACAACACCAACAGCGGGAAAUCACCUUCCCGGUCUUCUUCUGAAGAUCAGAAUAUGUGAGAGGUCCCGGGUUCGAAUCCCGGCAAGGCCC